rnacentral:rRNA from 1 species
GGAAUUACUGGGCGGAAAGGGCGCGUAGGCGGCCUUCUAAGUCAGACGUGAAAUCCCCGGGCUCAACCCGGGAACUGCGUCUGAUACUGGAAGGCUUGAAUCCGGGAGAGGGAUGUGGAAUUCCAGGUGUAGCGGUGAAAUGCGUAGAUAUCUGGAGGAACACCGGUGGCGAAGGCGGCAUCCUGGACCGGUAUUGACGCUGAGGCGCGAAAGCCAGGGGAGCAAACGGG